CAUUCCCCUCUUCGACACUACCCCACCAUUCCCCUCUUCGCCAGCGCCACCGUCUCCCUUCUUCUCCCUGCCGUCACCAUUCUUCCUGGUCCCUGAGCUUGAAGGCGCGAUUCAACUCCAGUCUGCAAGCUUUACCGUGGUUGGUGCCUCAGAUUCUGUUUUGUUUUGAGGUAGGUAAUAUUUCUCAAUGGAAGAAUGCUGCAAUAUUGUUGGACAGUGAUGAUGAGGCCAUGAGGGUAGUGUGAGUUCAUCAUUGAGUGCCUGGACAGGCAACGAAUAGGUGCACGUUGAUCAGGAGACUCUGCUCCAACAAGCUCUUGAUGCAUUAGAUGAGAAAAGGUAAUUAGUUAUUUCACUUGUGAUCAAACUUUAGAAGAGUUUUUAACAUUGAAAUUUGCAACCAUAAAUUAUAUGAAUGCGUAUACUAAUGAGUCUAAGUGCAUCUUAGAACAAAGAAGUGAUUUAGCAUGAAAACUUGCAAUGGUAAAGUUAAAUGAACAUGGAACGAAGUUCAUAUUUGGUUAUGCUUAUCUUGGAAGAAAGUAGUUGUUUCAAUUUUGUAGGUAGCUCUCUUAGCAAGGUUAUUAGUUUAAGCUGUUCUGAACCUGUAAUAAGCUUCUAUAGUAUGCUAAAUGUAUUCACAGUUUUUGCUUAUUCUAUUUAAACCACCACCAUUUCAUUUCGA